AGUGAUUCUGAGUUGAUCUUAUAAAACCCAUUUGCUGGUUUAUUAAGUUGUAAGCUAAAUUUGUAAUGGAUUUUAAUAUAUAUCCUCUGUGAUUGUUUUUUGAAGCAAUUUGUGCAGGGUUUGGAAUGACCAAAAAAAAAAUCAUUUCAAUUUAUAUAUUUAUUUUUAGGCGGAUUAUAGACGGAUAAGUUUUAAAAUCCGUCUCAAAACCCGUUCGUACGAAAUAUUUCGCAAUGGCACCCUUCUUGAAUCCCUAAUUUAAAUUUCCGCCGCCCCCAAACAACCCAAACCCAACCCAACCUUCGAACUCUUAAUCAGAAUCGACAUCGACCGCAGAAGCAAAGGAAGGAAGAGGGAGCGGGUUCUGCACCAUCCCCGGAGCCACUCGAUACGCCCAAGCCCGGUCUUCUUCGGAUUCUUCCACUCGGAGUUCGAGUCUCCCACUUUCUGCUCGGUGACAGGAGCCGGAGUUCUUGCAGUUCUUCCACUCGGAACUCUGUCACUCCCCGGAGAAAUAUAGAAAAUGGCUGGUUCAAAGCUAAAUGUGUUAG